UAAUUACCUUGCAGGGUAUAGGACCAAAACCGAUGAUUCCAAUACACCCUACAUAGCUGGGUAUACAACAACUAAUGCCCAUGUGGCAAAUAAUCAACCUAAUUACAUUGCAGGGUAUAGGACUAGCACCACCCAAGAAUCCAAUACACCUUCUUACAUUGCAGGGUAUAGGACUAGCACCACCCAAGAAUCCAAUACACCUUCUUACAUUGCAGGGUAUAGGACUAGCACCACCCAAGAAUCCAAUACACCUUACAUUGCAGGGUAUAGGACUAGCACCACCCAAGAAUCCAAUACACCUUACAUUGCAGGGUAUAGGACUAGCACCACCCAAGAAUCCAAUACACCUUACAUUGCAGGGUAUAGGACUAGAACCACCCAUGAUCCUAAUGCACCUUACAUAGCUGGGUACACAACAACUAGUGCCAAGAAAGCUCCAAAAGGGUCAUCUCAUGAUGAUACCACUGGACCUUACAUAACCCAAUAUGGUGGACCCGGUCCCAAAAAU
rnacentral:lncRNA from 1 species